rnacentral:lncRNA from 1 species
AGAGAAGAGACGAGAGAGAGAGUGAAAGGAGUUGACCCGAGUUUGACCCGAAUCCGACCCGGAACCCGCGACUUUGACCCAGCGAUUUCUCCCAUUUCCGGCCACCGUUCCGGGCAAGCUUGGUACCGAUUCGAAGCUUGAGAGACGAGCUACGUGUCCAUGCCAUCCUUGCCGCCGGAAAACGAUCGGAAAGCCACCGAUCGAAGCUUUGAAGUUCCGCGGAAUCACCGGCUCGAUUCGCCGGUUUCCGGUGAAGCCAUCACUUGGGUUUGGUCCUUACCUUGCCCUCUGCCAUUUCCGACUAACCACUGACGCCGGGGACAUCGUUUUAUCGGUGAUCAGCCGUUAGAGGAUUCACGACUUCGGGAGCUCGAUUCGGAGCCAUCGCCGCGCGUGGGAGGUCACCACCGCCAUCAUUGGACUCAGCGUGGCUUGAACUUUCAGUUCUGAGCUUCCCGUCGCCGUCGGAUGAAUUCCGGUGACCGUUGACCGGCAAGGGUAUUUCGGUGAUUUCACAGUCUAAGGGCAAUUUUGUAAUUUCAGAUUUUGUGGGUAUUUUCGUAAUUGCAUUGAUUGAGGAUAAAGUUGGUAAUUUAUGAUUUUGAGGUUAAUUUGGUAAUUUUGAUAUGGGGGUAUUUUGGUAAUAUUGAAUUCAAGGGUAUUUUGGUAAAUUUUGUAAUUUGAGGGUAAAUAUGUAAUUUGUGGAAUCAAUGGAUAAUUGGUAAUUUUAAGUGAGGGCAGUGAGGUAAUUUGAGAUUACGAUGGUAACUCGGUAAUUUAAGUCGUAAAGGAUAUUUUGGUAAUUUUACGUUCCGAGGGUAAUUUCGUAAUUUCUGACAUUGUGGUUAUUUUUGUGAUCUGAAUUGAGGACUAUUUAGUAAUUGAAGAUUAUGAGGAUAAGUUGGUAAAAUAAUGAUGUUGGGGGCAUUUUGGUAAUUUUGGCAUGUAGGGGUAUUUCGGUAAUUUUGUGCAUGCGGGAAUAGUUUAUUGUUAAUAGAUAUUCGUUUCGAGAUUUAUUAUAUAAAAUUGGUUGUAUUUCAAUUUACGGAAAAUGAUUAUGGCGUUUCCUUGAUUAGGAGGAUUCGCGAACGAGAAUCAACCCGCGGACGUUGUUGGCACCAAAUCUGGAUAUUGUCACUCUGAGUGGAAUAUACGAAACUUAUUUUUAGAGUUAAUUAUGAUAGUAAAGCAUGUUUGCGGAAUAAGUAUUUUAAAUGUUCUGAUUUAAUGAUUUCUUGAAAUGGAUUUAAUGUGAUUUCCUCGAAAUGGAUUUAAUGUGAUUUCCUC